GAUGAACGCUGGCGGCGUGCCUAAUACAUGCAAGUCGAGCGAACAGACGAGGAGCUUGCUCCUCUGACGUUAGCGGCGGACGGGUGAGUAACACGUGGAUAACCUACCUAUAAGACUGGGAUAACUUCGGGAAACCGGAGCUAAUACCGGAUAAUAUAUUGAACCGCAUGGUUCAAUAGUGAAAGACGGUUUUGCUGUCACUUAUAGAUGGAUCCGCGCCGCAUUAGCUAGUUGGUAAGGUAACGGCUUACCAAGGCAACGAUGCGUAGCCGACCUGAGAGGGUGAUCGGCCACACUGGAACGGAGACACGGUCCAGACUCCUACGGGAGGCAGCAGUAGGGAAUCUUCCGCAAUGGGCGAAAGCCUGACGGAGCAACGCCGCGUGAGUGAUGAAGGUCUUCGGAUCGUAAAACUCUGUUAUUAGGGAAGAACAAAUGUGUAAGUAACUAUGCACCUCUUGACGGUACCUAAUCAGAAAGCCACGGCUAACUACGUG
rnacentral:rRNA from 1 species